CGAGACCCAGGAUCCCUCCGAGAGGCCCUCGGGAGCCGGCGGCGGGGCUGGGAGCGGAGCGGGAUGAACAACGUCUUGGCAUCUACACCUGUUCCUCAUCCUCUACUCCAUGCCUUCGAUGCGGUCUGACCAGCCCUCCUACCUGCCUUUAGCUGGACACUGCUCUCCAACGAGGGCUGCUGUGGAACUCCACUGUGGUCGUGACUGUGAAGGAAGGAAACUCGUCUUAAAAGCCAUCAGCAAGCCACUGCACGUAUCUCAUUGGUGUUGAAAACUAGCUGCCGUCAAGGACGACUGAGCUGCCCUCCGUUGGCCCAGUCACAAACAGCCUUUGAGUUGGGAUGGCAGUGUCUGGUGCCUGGUUGCAGAGGACUGGGCUAGAGACUGAGAAUCUACCACUUGCAGGGUCUUAGUCCACCUGUACAGGAUGGACUGGGUCCCAGGAAAGGUAAGUGCGCCGCUCGCCUGUUCCCCAGCCUCCUGAUCCCGGAAACAAUCAGACGUAGCAGGGAGCCAAGUCUAGCAAGGACUCAUUUACUUCGUGCAUAACAGAACCUUUUAUAGCCCAAAACUGCAGUCAUUGGGGCAGGGCU